GUUUACACACAUGUGAAAAACACGUGGAUUUGAGGGUAGUUUUGUUUUCGGGUUGAGUGGAAUAAUGAACCUCCAGAUAUCUAUGUACAUGCACACGUGUAUGAUUAAACUUUUGUUGCACUCGCGCAAGCGAGAUAUCCUA